UACAACUCAGAUCAGGGGUGCAUCCUUACUAGCACUGCUGAUGAAGCAACCAGAAAUCUGCUCAGUAGCUGAUCUGACAUAGAUGGGGAAUCAGAGGUGCAGAAAGGUUAAAUAAUUUGCUCACACUGAAUCAGUGGCCGAUGGAAAAGAACAAAGGCCCUGUGCUCAAUCCACUACACCACAGCUGAUUAAAUGACCUACGUAAUAACAAGAAAUCCUUCAGAUUUGUACUCUACCUGUGCAAAAGAGUGAAAUUAGUAAUCUUAACAGCAACAUGAAAAAUUAAUGAAAGGAAUUUCCUUUACCCCUGGUACUGGGGGUAGGGGGAGCUUGGUGGGGCUGGCAGGCUCCCUACCCAGCUCCGUGUGUCCUUGCAGCUCCUAGGGAGAGAGAAGGCCAGUGGGCUCUGCACACUGCUCCCGUCGCAAGUGCCAGCUCAGCAGCUCCC